rnacentral:rRNA from 1 species
AACGCAUUAAGCACUCCGCCUGGGGAGUACGGUCGCAAGANUGAAACUCAAAGGAAUUGACGGGGGCCCGCACAAGCNGGGGAGCAUGUGGUUUAAUUCGAAGCAACGGGAAGAACCUUACCAGGUCUUGACAUCCUCUGACAAUCCUAGAGAUAGGACGUCCCCUUCGGGGGCAGAGUGACAGGUGGUGCAUGGUUGUCGUCAGCUCGUGUCGUGAGAUGUUGGGUUAAGUCCCGCAACGAGCGCAACCCUUGAUCUUAGUUGCCAGCAUUCAGUUGGGCACUCUAAGGUGACUGCCGGUGACAAACCGGAGGAAGGGUGGGGAUGACGUCAAAUCAUCAUGCCCCUUAUGACCUGGGCUACACACGUGCUACAAUGGACAGAACAAAGGGCAGCGAAACCGCGAGGUUCAAGCCAAUCCCACAAAUCUGUUCUCAGUUCGGAUCGCAGUCUGCAACUCGACUGCGUGAAGCUGGAAUCGCUAGUAAUCGCGGAUCAGCAUGCCGCGGUGAAUACGUUCCCGGGCCUUGUACACACCGCCCGUCACACCACGAGAGUUUGUAACACCCGAAGUCGGUGAGGUAACCUUUAUGGAGCCAGCCGCCGAAGUGGGACAGAUGAUUGGGGUGAAGUCGUAACAAGGUAAC